GAUUUAUGAGUUUGACUGUACCUCUGGUAUCUUUCGCCCCUUGUUUAUAGAAAGAUUCCACUGAUUGUGUGAUUGACGAUUGCUUAUACAGCUAACUUAACCUACACAACAAGACAUCAACAUCAUCUGCACCAAUGUCAACGAAAUCAGACAAAGUAAUAAUACGAUAUGGACCUUACGGAUCCUGAGGGGUAUUUACACACAAAGAAAUGCGGUUGAAAUCGUUAAUAAAGUAUCUAGAAAACAUGGGACUAGAGACUCAACUGGUUCAGAUUCAACUCAAAGAGGUGCUCAUAGUUAUAGUUAACGGCAAAACAGUAUGGAAAGGGAACAUCAAAUCUCUUCCUGUAGGCAAUUAUCCUGAGACUUUUACUACGUGUUCCAGCAUUCUUCGAAGCGUUUCUUCUGCAAUAAAAUAACAUGCUAUUUUGUUAAUUUUACUGACUAUGACCGUAUGAAAAUGCUAUGUGAAAGUUUGAAUAUUGAAAACAUAGUGUGUGAUGUUGGUCUAGACAGAAAAUUAUAAUCAUAAAGAAA